GCGUAAUAGCUCACUGGUCGAGUCGGCCUGCGCGGAAGAUGUAACGGGGCUAAACCAUGCACCGAAGCUGCGGCAGCGACACUGUGUGUUGUUGGGUAGGGGAGCGUUCUGUAAGCCUGCGAAGGUGACCUGUGAGGGUUGCUGGAGGUAUCAGAAGUGCGAAUGCUGACAUAAGUAACGAUAAAGCGGGUGAAAACCCCGCUCGCCGGAAGACCAAGGGUUCCUGUCCAACGUUAAUCGGGGCAGGGUGAGUCGACCCCUAAGGC
rnacentral:rRNA from 1 species